GCGGGGGUUGCCAAGCCAGGUCAAAGGCGCAGGGCUCAGAACCCUGUCUCGAAGGAGUUCGAGGGCUCAAAUCCCUCCCCCCGCA
rnacentral:tRNA from 1 species